AUAUGCAUAAAAUUGUUAUAAAAAUUUCUAAAAAUAGCAAUACAAAUGAGAACGUAAGUAUUACAGACCAUCAAAAUGUAUGUUUGCUUGUUUGUUUGUCUUGGAGCGUUCAGCAGACACGUGAAGUGUCCCAAGAAGAAGUAGUGGUUUUUGUGAUAUGGGGCAGCGAUGAAGAUACGCAAGGAGGCCAGCUUCCAUAGUCCAUACAACGCCGUCACCGACAAAUGCAACAAACAAUAAUCGGUUCCCCCGUUUUCACAUUAGAAUUUUGAGCUGUCUGUUCGGCGACCCCAUUAAUCUUCUGUGGCCAGCAUGCAAUAGCCCAAAAGCCGAAGCCAGUAAUUGACAAUUUCGCCCCCAAGACUCCCCCUAUAAAUACACCACUCUUCUACCAUCAUAAUCCCUCACAAAAGUCACCCACAACAUAAUACUACCAGUAAUCUGUGAGCUCUAAAAUCCUGCUUCCAAGAUGGCCCAAGUUAGCAUUGCCAAGACAUUUUUGGUGGCCAUGGUUUUGGCAAUAUUCUCCACAGCCUCAGCCCAAGAGUCUUUGUCACCGGCACCGGCGCCUAACACCGGAGCAGCCUUCUCCUUGCCGGUUGCAACCACCAUGGUCGUUGCCUCCAUCGUUCUCUCCCUUUCUGCUGCUCUCUUGAGGCACUGAACUUUUCUUUUUCUUUUUCUUUUUUUUAUUGUGGGUGUGGGUUGGGGGGAGGAGUUUUGCUGUUAUAUAGUUAGCGGGGCAUUACAGGAUUUAUUUGUAUCACUUGUGGUUGUAGUGAUGAGUUCCAUUCUUUUGGCCCUUUGUCAGCUUUAAUAAAUAAAGGAGUUCUUAUAUAGCUUUUUUGUGUGCUAGUUUGUGUGAUGAUUUGCUUGAAUUGGGAUUAUGAAUAUGGUUAGUGUUGUACUUCAAUGAACCGAAAAGAAAAUACAGCUAAUAUGACAUUCUAAUGCUGUGAAAUUUCAUCUCGUGUCUUUAUUUUUUUGUCAUACUUUUAAUCGACUCACAGACCAUGAAAUCAGAACCUUCUACUUCAAAAAAAAAAAAGGGAAAAAGCAUCAAAAAGCGAAACGAAGUUGUAGUGGGAAUGUUUUAAGUGUCACUUUUUGCCUGCGCCUCCAAGUUUUAGUGGUCUCUGCUCGCUGUCAAAAAGAUCAAUUUGAUGUAUAGUUUGUUGGUAAUGCAUCAAUCAAUCAAGAAAUGUUCUUCCUGUUUUUCCUGUAGCAAAUAAUGAAAAGCCUUUUUUUUUUUUUUUAGCUGCAUAUGUAAACCCCAUAAUCCUCGCAUAUCACACCAACAGAGUAUUUGGAGCCCACUUUUCCAUUUUCCUUUACACACACAUAUAAUUCUAACUUCUUCAAAAAUUAGGCUCCACCACAAUAUGUUAGCAAGAUACAGUAUAUAAUAAAGAUGCAAAAGCUGAACCAAAUGACGUUAACAUCCUUCCUACUAAUUUGGGUUUGAACCCCUUUUGGUACAUCCGUCCGUCACACAGAGUUUAUCUAUAUGACUGAUUAUUAUAUGGAACGGAAUUUAUCUAAUGCGUACUCUCAAGUAACGACGGUUGAUUCCCUUAUUUUAAAAAAAAUGACAUUUACAUUUAUGCAUUUCAAAGGUCCACUUUUACUAUCCAAGUUUAUAUACAUGAACAAAACCGCAAGACUAAGUCGACUUCCAAGUUAAAUGACAUUUUAAUGUAUAAUGGUCAUCACAUUAUUGCUGCGAAUGACUAUCCAACUGGCCACCCACUGAUGAAUGUAACUUUUCUUUGUAAAGCACUAUGCUCUGUUUGGUGACCGCCUUUUUUUCCGUCCCCACCUUUUCUAUUUCGAACUUUUUAGUUGCACCUUAGUUGGAGUACAAAUAUGUACGUUUUGACAACGAGUGCACCUACAGUACACAAAAUUUGAAUUUGUUUCAAAGUGCUAAAGUGCAAACGACCGUUUACAACGGAACACUUACUGAAAAAAAGAAGUCUUUUAUUUGACAGUAAGGAAAAAAAAUAAAAGAAAGUGAAUUUCCUGUUUUAGUUGUUUGAAUAGCGAUUUUAGUUAUAGGACCUAAUCAGUUCUCAACUGAUUUUCGCUUUUGAUUCUAGAGUAGUAUUUGUUAUGUGAUGUUCAUAAUUCUUUUCAGGGUAUAAUUUUUUUGACAUUUUAAAAAUCAGAUUUUAUAACAAUCAGAAUCAUUUGAGAACAUGUCCAUAAUAAUUGAUGUUGAUAGUAUUUUGUUACUUUUUUUUCCUUUUUUCUUUGAAGACAUAUUUUAACAAAUAACUGGUAUGACAAAUCCAACACCAGCUACGGACCUAUACCUAUUUCCGUCAAAAUUUCUAAAAUCACUGUGGAAAAGUCAUUAUUGAAAGAAAAGGUAAAAAUAAGUGAAAGUAUAUAUACUUAACUGUUAAAUCCAGAAUUCGAACUCUAAAUCUGAUAGUAAAAAGAAAUGUUAAGAGCUCUCCCUUGAUCACUGGAUUUUAAAAAUAUAACUUAGGUUGUGUUUGGAUUGCAUUUUCCGUCAUUUUUCAUGGAAAAAUUACUGUAGCGAUUUGAUAUAUGUGAGGGAAAAAGGUGAUAUGAAAAUGUGAUCACGGAAAACGAUAAUAUUUUCCGACGGAAACAAGCAAUCCAAGCAAGGCCUUAAUUUGUCAUUUCGUUUUGAUAAAUUGAAUCUUUCACAUCAAUAUAACCACUGUAAAAAUAAAAUGGAAUUCACUUCUCCAGAAAUCUCCGUGCAAUGAACAUAGCUAGUCAGUCACAUUCAUAUGAUUCGUGCCAGCCAUGUUUAUUCAUUUUUAAACUUGAUUUGUUUGACAUGAAUAAUCAGCAUUUGGAGGGUAAUCAUUAUUGUUCUUUCAUUACUUUAAUGAAAUUAUUUCAACCACCAAUAAUAAAUAGUUAAUUACUAGGUAGUACUAUAUAUUUUUCCAUCAUAUUACAGCGACAUUUUCCUAUUCCUAAAUCCAAAGAAGCAAGAAAAAUGUCUUAUUUACACUCCUAUUUUAAUUAAUCACACUUUUACUAUCAUUUCAAUCAUAUAAUUUUUUUAUUAAAUUAUACGAUAAAACAAAUAAAUGUGUGCAUAACAAAAAAAAAUGAAGUGUAAAUAGUAAUAAUAUUUUCUAAAAGCAAAAGAAAAAUCGACAUACCAAAAGAAGAAAAGGGUCCAUGUUUGAAAAAAAAAAAAAAAAAAAAAAGGGUCCACCUCAAUGAACUCACAGAAAUCAACGCGUCAAACUCCCAUAGGACUCCUUCUGACCACACUUCUCUUUCUUUCUCAAAAGCCUCACCCGACCGUCACGCCAGCUACUUCAACAUCACCCACGUUCUCACCAAGCCCAGCUGUCCCUUCCCUGCCCACCUAUAAAUAUCCCCCGCCCGUCACUUCGCUUUCGUCCGCCCCCAAAGGAAAACCCUUCUCUCUGAGCUUGAAGAAGAAAACUCAAAUCAGCAGCACACAACUUUUUGGUAACAACCAAAUGGCGCAAGUUAGCAUUGCGAAGGCUUUGGUGAUGAUGGUGGUCGUUUUGAUGGCCGUCGUGGCAGCAGCAUCAGCACAGGAGUCUCCCUCGCCGUCGCCUGAUGCCGGAGCAGGGUUUUCUUUGCCGGUUUCCGGUGCUAUGGUUGCGGUCUCUCUAGUGCUCUCCUCCGUGGCCUUGUUGAGGCAUUAUUGAGUUGAUCUUCUUAUUAUUUAUGUAUUAUUAUUUUCAUCCAUUCCCCAUGCUUGCGCUGGGGAAUUAUUAGAGGGGAAUUUGUUCUGUUUUGUAAUUUUUUGGAGUGAUUAUUUGUGAGUGUGGUUUGGUGGUCCCAUUGGAUUGUUUUUCCAUCAGAAUAUAAUAAAAUUCUUUUACUGCUUUACUUUUAGUGUAAUGGUUUAAUUUGCCAAAUUAAGUUUAAAUCUUUUGAGUCAUGGCCAAAAAAUAAAAAAAAAGGAAAAGUUAAAUAGCAAAAAUAGGACACUGUAAAUUCGUGGCUUUGGUUGUUCAAUAAAGUAUUCAAUGCUCGUUAGCUAUUUCAUUGGUUGUUUAAUAAAGUAUUCAACCUUCUUAGUAGUUCUUUACCUAAUUUCAUCUGGGAAGAUAUUUUUUUUUAAGUCCAUAAUUUGUUCAUCACAAAUUCACAAUAGCGACGACAAUCUACAAGUUAAAGAGAAAAGUGUUGGAUUGCCUGGUAAGAUAUGUCAUUGAGAUCUAGCUAAGAAGGCUUGAAAAAAAGCACUCAGUUGGAUUACAUGGGGAAAAAAUUUCUCAAUUUCUGUGGAAAUAUGAUCAGCAGUAUAAACUUCAGAUUUACAACAGCCUUUGUAAGAUUCACACAUAACACGUCUAUCAUCAUGUAUGAUGCCCCAUGUCUUCAAUCUAGCAAAGUUAAAGAGGCAAAUCUAGGAAAACAGAGAGCCUUUGAACUAGACUGAGGGUGCGUUUGAUAAAAGUGAAAUUUGAAAUUUAAAUUCAUUAAAUUAUUGAAUUGUUAAGUAUUAAAUUUAAUACAUUUAAAUGCAUAUCACAAGUUUGGCUUAUCACUUAAUUUGGCUUAUAAGUGAAUAGUUUAUCACUUAAUUUUGAGAGUAAAUUUAGUUUAGAAAAUUCAUUGUUAUUUAAUUAAUUUAAAUGUUCAAUUUUUUAUUAUCAAACGAUUUGAAUAAAUUAAGAUCUGAAUCCAUUAAAUUUAAUGUUGAACUGAGUUAUCAAACAGGAUCUAAGCCCGGCAGAUUGUUCAAGUGUAUAAUUAGCAGAUUAAUGAGCACAUGACCAUUUCCGGCCAUAUUGAGUAGAAAAGUAUCUCGAGUAGCUCUAAUUUGGUCCACAAAUUUCUUCUCUUGCCUCAGGCCUUCUCCAAAUGUACGUGCAUUCUUGUUAGAAGCUGCUUAGGCCAGUAGAGAACUGCCAAAUUAAGCAUGGGGUUGAUUUAUUUAUUUGGGUCAAACGGACUAUAGAGGAUUGAUAGGUCUCUAAUUAACACCCUAAACCCCAAAGGAAUGCCAUAGGUCAUACAUACAUCACAUAUUGACAGCGUUACCAUAGCCAAUGGCAGAUUAAUCAAGAAUCAAGGGUGUAGAAUUCAAUCUCACUUGAACUCACAAAUAAAAAUCAUGUUUGACUAACAACUUUCAGUCAGAAAAAAAAAAGAAAAAAAUGCCAAAAGAGGCAUGGUUUAGAAAAUUAUAUGGUAAGCACAAAAACUCUUCCAUCUUUCCCAUCGUAUGCUUUAAGCAAGCAUAAAAAACAUCUCAAAAGAUUUGAACUGCGAAGGAGCGUGAGGGCAAUUGUAGGCACAUAUUAAAAGUUUGAAAUAAUUAAGAGAAGACAUGUAACGUGGAGGCCACUGAUGUACUUUCCGGAUACCGACCUUCUGGUCAAUUCAAAAGUACGGUUGGUAUGAAAUGUACAUCAACGUAAGUAAUUCAAUCGCGGUUUCGUGAAAUUGUUACUAAGUUUGCCUUGUUUGAAAAGAGAUUUUCUACCAAAAAUUUUUUUUUUAAUAUUUUUUAUGAACACAUUGUUUAAUCACUUUUUUAUCUUAUAUAUAUCAAAUUAUUAUAAUAUAUUUUCUAAAAAAAUUCAAAAAAUUACAAAGAUGACCAUUUCUCAUAUGAAAACGACACUACUAGAAAAACGUCCAAAGUUCCUUAAAAAAAAAAAAAGGAAAAACAUCCAAAUUGAGCAUUAAUCAUUUUGGGUACGAUAAAAUUUUGAAUUACCAGCAAGUUGUGGCUUUAUUGGAGAACUGGAACAAGAUUGUCCAGGCACCAUGUGGGGUCAAAUAUCAAGAGGUGCAUCUUAGAGAAAAUCCUAUUCAAAUAUAAACAAUUGAGUUUAGCUCAUGGAAAAAAAAAAAACAAAGUUGAUCAUGUUUAAAUAAAUAAAAUAAAAAAAAUAAAAUCCAACUCAAUCCCAACCAAUUCUUACAACUUUAUAAAAUCCAAACUGUCCACGAGUAGCUUUUUGAGAGAGCGAUAAUUCACAAUUCAAGUUAUUUUUUAAUUUUUUUAAAAUGAAAAGUUUUGAACUCAGGAUCUUUAAUUUAUAACAUCUCUCAUUUUACCAUCCAAUCCAAUCUUUUCCUGACAGUUCAUGCUUAGCUGUUUUUAUUUUUGUAAACGGAAACUGAAAUGCUUGUCAUUAUUAGCUAGACAAAAGCUGUGACAACAUAAUUUUUGUUAUACUCUAUAGUAAUUAAAGACUGUUCUAUAAAUUAAUGAGUUAAUCUCACCUUUAAAUAUGAUUUCCAACUCUUGACCCAUACCUCAUGAAUAAAAGAUUAGGUGAGAUUUUUUUUUUUUUUUUUUGUUGAUAAAAUCAUGAGGAAGCCAACGAUGGAGGAUGUAAUGGACAAUCUAACUCACAAAUACCGAGAAUUAUAUAUAACUCACUAGCACAAAUAAACCCACGAUUAGUGGGAAAAGAAAUUCACCUAUAGAGACGCUCGAAUUUAUAGAUUUCUAAUUCUUAAAACCUAACUUUAAGCUAUCAAAUCAAGGUCUCACAGGUAUAAGGUGCGUUAAUAUAGGUAGAAAAAUUUGCCUUGAAUUUUGGCUGUUAAUUUAAUACAAACAAUCCUACGUAUCGUCAAUUUAUGAUCUCAUAAUCAACGUUUGGCAUCUUUCCAGCCAAAAAUUACUACUUAGAUCCGUUUGGAUUGAUCAUUUUUUGAAAAAACAAGUUUUUUAUGUACAAUGUUACAGUAAUACAUAAUAAAAAAAUAAUCUCAAAAAUACCAAAAACAGUCUCAAAAAACAAUAUCGUCUACAGUAAAAUAUUUCAAAAACACCUUUAAAAACAAGUUUGGAUUGAAGUUUUUCACAAAAAAAUCCUUAAAGCUUUUCGUGACUAUAAAUUUCUAAACAACAUUUUAUCUCGCGUACGUUUUGAAUCAUUACAGUAUAUUUUUUUUUACUAAAAAUCAAGAAAAUGACAAUCCAAACAAGAGCAGACUGACGAAAUCCAGGAUUAUUCCCAAAUCCUCGAGAGCAACAGUUACAAAUUGCUAAAGAAAGAGCACCGCCAUUAGGACAAAAUGUAAGCCAAAAAUCGAUCAAUCACCAUAAAGGCAGGCAUCAACAAUCCAGCCGUUACGCCACGUAUCCCCUCUUCUCUUCUUCUUUUUCUUCUUUCUUUAACCACUUUACGAUUUCAAACGUUGGUUGAACGAACCUUCUCCCCCGGUAUGUCCCUCCAGCUGUCCCUAUUCCGCGUAACCCCUAGGCUAUCCCAAUUCCCACCCCAUCAAGAUCUCCCUAUAAAUACCUUGACAGCCCAUCAACAUUCCUAUUCCAUCACAGAACAGCACAAGAAUUUCUAAGGUCCCGUCCCCUACUUUUUCAUCCCCACAGCGUCUAUUUCUUUCUACUCUCGACUUCUGCUAUAUUCUUCUUCUUCCUAAAUGGCUUCUCAAGUUAGCUUCAUCAAGGCGUUGGUGUUCGCUGUUGUCAUGAUGUUGGCCGUAGCGGCGGCCUCCGCCCAAGAGUUGGGCCUCUCCCCGGCACCUUCACCGGAUGCCGGAGCUGCUUUCUCUUUGCCGGUGUCCACUGCUUUCAUUGCCAGCUCCCUGCUCUUCUCUGUUUUUGCUCUGUUGAGGCACUAAGAUUACAGGAUGCAAGGGGAGAGGUUUUUGGGAUGGCGAGCGUACUUAGUCCUUCUAUGGUACCAGCAUAGUUAUUAUGGACCUAUUCAAUUUUAUUAUUUUAUGUAAAAAUUUGAGAUUACUGAGUCUAUGAUCCUUGUAUCUGUUGAUACAUAUUGUAUUAUAUUUAUCCGUUGAUGAGAAAUAAAGUUUGCUAUUUAUUGUAUCACUCUGUUCUUCGUUUUUGCAAGACACAGAUAUUAGACCAAUUUGUUGUCAUCCAAAAAAAAAAGAGGAAAAAAGGGGCCAAAAGCCAAACAACAUGAAAGGGGUCUUUUAUCUUUUUUUUUUUUUUUUUUUAACAAAAUGAGAGGUCAUGCAAAACAAUUCUUGAAAUUGAUUUUUAAUAUUAAGUUCGAAUUUAUACCAUGUGGCACGACAAAGGAUAUAGAAAAAAAGAGUAUGGGAGAGCGGUUACACAAUAAAAUUUUGCAAUUCCCAAAAAUUGAUCUUUUGUGUUAAAGUGGCUGAAAAAUUCUAUGGCGGAUUAAUGGGCUAAAGAUCGGAAUAUGGAAAUAGAUCUGAUACCACUACGGACUACCUAUUUCAGUUGUUGUUACUCUCUAAAAUUACAUAUCCAUACAAGGGUUCGAGUUUCGAUUUAUAUUUGUAGAGUUUUUUAAAAUUUAUUUAAAGGAUUUUUUUUUCUCAAAAGGGAUAUUUUCUAAAAGUAACACGAAAAUAUGUCCACUUUUGACAUUUUCUAGCUAGACAAAAGGGUUUCAUGUUCAAGCAUUUCAAUUCGGUUUUGAUUGAUCGACACAUUACAAGGAUAACUUCUUUUAGCUUCCAAUAUAUGUCCUCAAAUAUAUAUGGCUCAUGAAAAAGGAAAACAAUAUAGGCACAAUGGAUGAGACGCGUACAUUUGUCAUAUUAGUUUGUCGUACCAAGAAAUUUUUUUUUUAAAAAAAAAAAAAGUUUGGCAUACCAAGAAAAGAGCGUUCAAAAAUUUCUUUAUUUGUCCUUUAUCGAUGUAAGAUGUAAAAACUUUUAUGCUUAACUCGAAAUUUGUGAAGGUAUUCGAAAUCCCUCCUCCCAAAAAAACAAAACGAAAAAACACUCGUCAAUUUUUGAAAAGAUUCAUCUGAUUGGAGCAAAAAAUCCCGGAUUAACAACAAAAAUUCCGAGAAAUUAAUAGCAACAAAAUCCCGAAUUGCGACUCCUUGUUUGCAACGUUACGAUGUUGCCAUAAAGAACGAUGAUGAGGGACAAAUGGUACGUCCAAAUCAAUCAGUCCAACAAAUGAAGCCGUUACGUACGCCUUCUUCCUUUAGCCACACAACAAAAUUCAAACGUCGGUGGUGAACCACCUUUGCCGUCUUCAUCCUCUCUCGCUCCCACCACCUGUCGACCUUCCCCCCUCUAUAUAAAUGCCACAACCAUUCCACCUCUAUUCAAUCGCAAAAACAACUUCGAAUCAACCAAUUUACACACCCUUUCCUCUCUUUCUUCAAGAUCCUUAACACCAUUCACACCCUCUCCUCUCAUUUUACAAAUGGCUUCUCUGCAGGGUAGCAUGAUCAAGGCCAUGGCAUUGGCAAUUGUGAUGUUGGCCGUUGCAGCCGCCUCAGCCCAAGACCUGUCCCCGGCGCCGUCUCCCAGUGAAGGCAAUGCAGCAUUUUCUCUGCCGGUCUCCACCGCCUUGAUCGCGAGCUCUGUGCUCCUCUCUGUCUUCGCCCUACUGAGACAUUGAGUAUCGAGAAGCAAAGAGCAAAUUGUUUGAACAUGGAGGAGAGAAAGAGGGUUUUGUUUUGGAUUUUAUUACCAGAUUUUUUGUAUUACAUGUUAUUGAAACGUACUGAGAAAUAAAAAUUCUGAUUACUUUAUUAUCAUGCUUACAAUCUCUUUUCAGGCUUAAUGGGUGUUUUACCUUUUUUUUUUUUUUUUUUUUGUGCCUUUUAUACGAUGAAGGAGUAGUUAUAAGUUCAGCAUAAAUUCGAAGAAAAAGAUUCCAUUAUUAGUUCCAAUAUGUAUAUAUUGUUUCUUGUAAUUCUCCAAAUAUGCACAUAUUCAAUAUAGAGUUUCUCUUUAAUAUUUAAGAUCAUACGAUAUCAAUUACUAGAGGAACAUGCAAUUCCUAUUGUCAUUUUGCGUUAUCUCAUUUAAUUUAAGUAAUUAUAUGAAAUCUAUGCUUACACAUCAAAAAGGAAAAUAGACAAAAAAAAGCCACUGAAGAACAAGUUCUUGAGGCUUUAAAAAAUAGGUUAUUGAUUUCUGUCACAAGAAAUUCAUGAAAUGCUUGAUCUUUGAAUUUCUUUCUGUGCAUUUUUUUUCUUAAGAAAAGAGAUAAUUUGAAAACAAUAAAAAUAAAAAUUAGUUAACGUUAUCUCAUUUAAUUUAAGUAAUUAUAUGAAAUCUAUGCUUACACAUCAAAAAGGAAAAUAGAAAAAAAAAAAGCCACUGAAGAACAAGUUCUUGAGGCUUUAAAAAAUAGGUUAUUGAUUUCUGUCACAAGAAAUUCAUGAAAUGCUUGAUCUUUGAAUUGCUUUCUAUGUAUUUUUUUUCUUAAGGAAAGAGAUAACUUGAAAAGAAAAAAAUAAAAAUAAAAAUUAGUUAACGUUAUUCUCUAAAGUCCAAAUUCCAGACAUACUAAAAAAUAAUAUGCAAGUAAAUUGAUCUCAAUAAAAUAAAUUCAACCAAAAAGGGAUGAAAUAAAUAUUAAACUUAAUAUUUUUCGUGAUUGUUCAAACGUAGGAAAUUCACUGGGCAUUUCUUUAAUAGAAAAUCUAUGUGCUGAUGGCUUCUUUAAAGUAUAAGUGUAUCAUUUUUUUUUUCGAGAUAUAAUGCCUGUGAAAUAAAAACAAGUUUUUUUAGAAAAAGGAAAAAUAUAAUUGAAAACAAUAAUGUUUAGGGAAUAGAGUAAAUUAUUAUUAUAUAUCAUUUUACAAAAACAAAAAAAAAAAA
rnacentral:lncRNA from 1 species